rnacentral:antisense_RNA from 1 species
GGAGAAUCUAAGACUUCUGAAGAGUUUCUUGCUUCUUUCCUGUGGGGCAGUGACUCCACUUCCCAGCAGUAAUGGAAUAUCCUGAAUUAGCUACAUUAAUGUUAGAACCAUUUGGACCUCACCCAGGACUUCAACUACAUUAUGCUAAAGUUACAGAACCCAAAUUUGGCAACUGUCUGCAUCUGAACAACAGAAGUUUCAACAUUCUGCCAACAGAGUAACUCCUGGACGAUUGGCACAGAAGGCACAAGGUUCUAGUAUGUUAGGUUUAUGUUCCCCUGCUUUCUACAAUCCUGUUCAAAGAGUUGCUGACUUAACCACAGAGAGGAUUCCAGAACAUGAGACACAGAAUAAACUUGAGCAAUCAUAGUCCAUCCACUUCAUUUUCUCAUCAAAAACCAAAGGUCCAGUGAAGCUCUGGAACUCAACGCUGUAAAGGAGCGAAGGAGCUUCUAUACAGAGCCUGGAUGCCUGUCUCCUUAUCCUACUUCAGUGGACUUGACUGCAAUCCGGACUAUGCUGUUUUCUAAGCAUUUAAAAUAAAAUAAAAAGUGUAA